UGGAGCAAAUGGAAGUACGAGAAUCAUGGAGAUGAUAGAGUUUGAGUUGGUCAUUAUCGGUUUUGUUUUGGUGUUUAUCUUGUCGAGUCUCGAGGCUCAAGUCUUGUUAGUAGUUAUCCUAUUUUAAUAGCUUAAGUUUUUGGAGUUAUCUAUUGAGUUGUAAGGCUAUAUAAAGCCAUAUGUUUUCUAGGAAUAAACAGAGAGGUUUUCAUAUUUCGUAGCAAAGCUUUAUACUUUACAAAGUGGUAUCAGAGCUCCGUUGCAAAAACCUAAGAGAUGGGAGAUAAUAAGAUGAAGUUGCCGCAGUUCGACGGCCAUUGGGAUCACUGGAGCGAAGUGAUGGAGAAUUUCUUCCGAGCCAAGGGAUUAUGGAGCGUGAUUGAAACCAGCUAUGAGGAACCGACGGACACAACAGUAUUGACAACCGAGCAGAGAGAGCUGCUUGACAACGCCAAGACUAGUGACCACAAGGUGAAGCAUUACCUUUAUCAAUCAAUUGAUAGGGUAACGUUUGAGCAGAUCUUGGAUAGGAGAACAUCCAAGAUCAUCUGGGAGUCAAUGAAAAAGAAGUUUGGUGGAAACGAUCGUGUGAAGAGGUCGUUGCUUCAAAAGCUCAGAAGAGAUUUUGAGUUGCUUGAGAUGAAAGAUGCCGAGAAGGUGGAAGAGUAUUUCACAAGAUUUCUGGCUAUCACAAACCAGAUGAGAAGUAAUGGAGAGGAGAUGCCAGAUGUAAAGGCGGUGGAGAAAAUACUCAGAACCUUAAGCGAGAAGUUUAUUUAUGUAGUAGUCUCCAUAGAAGAGUCUAAAGAGAUCGAAAACAUUACACUGGAGGAACUGCAAAGUUCAUUGGUAGUACAUGAACAGAAGUUCAGAAAACCAGAAAAAGAAGAUGAUAAGUUGUUCAUUGUGACUCAAGGCAGAGGAACAGGAAGCAGAGGAAGAGGCUUCCAUGGAAGAGGUAGGGGAAGAGGACGAGGUCGAUGCUUCACAAAUAGAAGCACCGUCGAAUGCUACAAGUGCCAUAAGCUUGGACACUUCCAAUAUGAGUGCCCAAAGUGGGAAGAAGAAGCGAACUAUGCCGAGGAGAGUGAAGACAUGUUACUGAUGGCUUAUGUUGAAGAAGAAGAGGACGAAGUCACUACUGAUCUGACAUUAAUGACUCAAUCAGAAGCACAAGAGCCUACAAAGAAGACAACAUGGUUUCUCGACUCAGGGUGCUCUAACCACAUGAGUGGAAACCGUGAGCUAUUUUCAACAAUGGAUGAGAAGUUCAGGCACUCAGUCAAACUGGGAAACGAUAAGAAGAUGGAGGUUGUUGGAAAAGGAAGUGUGAAGAUAUUGCUAAGAAACACAACCUACACAAUCAGUGAUGUUUUCCAUAUCCCAGAACUCAAAAACAAUUUAAUGAGUCUGGGACAGCUGCAAGAGAAGAACAUCUCUAUCGUGAUUCAGAAGGGCAUAUGCAAGAUCUACCAUGAUGAAAGAGGACUACUGAUUGAAAGCAAGAUGAGUGCAAACAGGCUGUUCAUGUUGAUAGAUCAGACCAAUGAUAUAGAGAGAUCAAAACAGCAUUGCUUUCAGACAAUAGCAGAGGACGUGCCAAAGCUGUGGCAUGAACGCUACGGUCAUCUUAGCCAUCGUGGAAUGAAGACGUUGCAGAGUAGAGACAUGGUACGGGGACUACCUGCAUGUGAUACGCAGAGCUUCACAUGCCCUGAUUGCUUAGUGGGAAAACAACCAAGGAAUCCUAUUCCUAAAAAAAGCAUAUGGAGAGCUAAAGAAACUCUGGAGCUGCUUCAUUCCGACAUCUGUGGACCUAUAAGCCCUACAUCUCCUAGUGGAAAGAGGUAUAUUCUUUGCUUCAUCGACGACUACAGUAGAAAGGCCUGGGCAUACUUCUUGAAUGAAAAGUCAGAAGCAUUCACACAGUUCAAGAUGUUUAAGAGAAAAGUGGAGAUCGAAACUAGUAAAAACAUCAAGUGACUGCGAACAGAUAGAGGAGGAGAAUAUACAUCACGGGAGUUCUCUGACUUCUGUAAUAAGGAAGGGAUCAGAAGGCAACUGACAGCAGCCUACACACCGCAGCAGAACGGUAUUGCAGAGAGGAAGAAUCGAACAGUAAUGAACAUGGUUAGGUCAUUACUCUCAGCAAAGAAAGCACCAAAGUAUAUGUGGCCUGAAGCUGCGAACUGGACAUUCUAUGUCCUGAAUCGGUGCCCAACAAGUGCUGUAAAGAACAUCACACCUCAAGAAUCUUGGAAUGGAAUCAAACCAAGUGUCGAACACUUCCGUGUGUGGGGAAGCAUUGGACACGUACAUGUGCCAGAUGUAAAACGGAGCAAGCUUGAUGACAAAAGCAUAGCGUGUGUUCUGGUUGGGUUCUCUAAAGAAUCAAAGGCAUAUAGAUUAUACAACCCUAGAAUGAAGAAGAUGAUGGUAAGCAGGGAUGUGGUAUUUCAGGAGAACAAGGGCUGUAACUGGGAAGAAGAGACAGACCAUCAAGCAUAGUAUGUUCUCACUUGGAACGAUGAUGAUGUGAGUUGGGAAGAUAGUGAAGAAGCAGGAAGUGACAAUGAGACUCCAGUAGCUGCGCCAGAACAAAACAUCGAACCAGAACCACCUGUAGAAGCAGCAGCAGAGCCUCACACCGAGCCAGUUGUACAAACCAGGGAGGGACGAAACACAAGACAUCCUCGUUACUUAAACGAUUAUGUCAUUAAGGUGCAGAUCUAGACGACAAUGAUGAAGUCCACAUGGCUAACAUGGUAGAGUUUAACUCCACAGACCCAACCACCUUUGAAGAAGCAGAGAAAAGUGUGAAGUGGAGAGAAGCUAUGGAUGUAGAGAUGAAUUCGAUUGUGAGAAAUCAAACUUGGGAAUUGGUGAAGCUACCAAACGAAGCUAAGUGCAUUGGUGUGAAGUGGUUAUACAAAACCAAACUCAACGAGAAUGGAGAAGUAAGCAAAUACAAGGCACGACUGGUGGCUAAAGGAUACUCACAAGAACAUGGAAUAGACUACACAGAGGUAUAUGCACCAGUUGCUAGAAUGGACACCAUCAGGACUAUUCUUGCAACAACUGCACACAGAUCUUGGGAAGUGCAUCAGCUAGACGUAAAGUCUGCUUUUCUCCAUGGAGUUCUUUCAGAAGAAGUAUAUGUGCAGCAGCCAAAAGGGUACGAAGUGUUGGGAGAGGAGGACAAGGUGUACAAACUCCACAAGGCAUUGUAUGGCUUGAAACAAGCGCCAAGGGCUUGGUUUAGUUGUAUUGAAGAAUAUUUUGUCAAGAACGGGUUUGAGAAGUCACAGAAUGAGGAGACUCUGUUCCUGAAAACAGAAAACGGUGAUACAUUGAUUGUGAGUGUUUAUGUCGAUGAUCUUAUCUACACAGGGAGCAGUCUCAAGAUGAUGGACGAGUUCAAGAAAUCAAUGCAAAGAGAAUUUGAUAUGACCGAACUAGGUAAGAUGAGAUACUUUUUGGGUUUCGAAGUUCUGCAAACAUCAAGCGGCAUUUAUAUUUGUCAAUCAAAGUAUGCUCUUGAGAUACUGAGACGGUUUGACAUGGAGAAUUGCAACUCCGUUAGAAAUCCAAUGGUUCCAGGGAGUAAGAUCGAUGCUGAUGAUGGAGGGGAACGAGUUGAUGAGACUUUCUAUAACAAAUCAUUGGUAGUCUCAUGUAUAUUACCAAUACCAGACCAGACUUACAAUUCUCAGUAAGUCUUCUGAGUCGGUUCAUGUCAAAACCCACGCAACUUCAUGUUCAAACUGCAAAGAAAGUCUUAAGGUACUUAAGAGGGACUCUGGAUUACGGAAUCUGGUACAAGAGAGGAGGAAGUGGAGAGCUGCAGGUUUACACUGAUAGUGAUUUUGCUGGAGACGUUGAAAGCCGAAAGAGUACUUCAGGAUAUGUCUUUCUUAUGGACAAUGCAGCAGUCGCUUGGCUUUCUAAAAAACAACCAAUUGUUACUCUCUCAACUACAGAAGCUGAAUAUGUUGCAGCAUCAGUCUGCGCGUGUCAAGUAGUCUGGUUCAAAAAAGUGUUGGAGGAACUGGGACAUCGUGUGAAAGAAGGCAUUGUGAUAUGGUGUGACAAUACUUCGACGAUUAAACUAUCUAAGAACCCAGUGUUUCAUGGGAGGUGUAAACACAUUGGAGUACGUUUUCACUUCCUGAGAGAGUUGGCUAAUAAUGGAGAGAUAUGUUUGGAGCAUUGUGAGUCACAUGAGCAAGUGGCAGACAUUUUAACAAAACCAUUGCGACGAGAAGUAUUUGAGAACUUGAGAGACAAACUUGGAAUUUGCUCUGCAGCGACUAAGCUAAGUCUUGUGAACCAAGCUUAGUUUAGGGAGGGUUUGUUGGAGCAAAUGGAAGUACGAGAAUCAUGGAGAUGAUAGAGUUUGAGUUGGUCAUUAUCAGUUUUGUUUUGGUGUUUAUCUUGUCGAGUCUUGAGGCUCAAGUCUUGUUAGUAGUUAUCCUAUUUUAAUAGCUUAAGUUUUCGGAGUUAUCUAUUGAGUUGUAAGGCUAUAUAAAGCCAUAUGUUUUCUAUUAAUAAACAGAGAGGUUUUCAUAUUUCGUUGCAGAGCUUUAUACUUUACAGUUUAGAGAUUGG
rnacentral:lncRNA from 1 species